rnacentral:rRNA from 1 species
AUUGAACGCUGGCGGCAUGCUUUACACAUGCAAGUCGAACGGCAGCGCGGGCUUCGGCCUGGCGGCGAGUGGCGAACGGGUGAGUAAUGCAUCGGAACGUGCCCAGUUGUGGGGGAUAGCCCGGCGAAAGCCGGAUUAAUACCGCAUACGACCAGAGGGUGAAAGCGGGGGACCGAAAGGCCUCGCGCCAUUGGAGGGGCCGAUGUCGGAUUAGCGAGUUGGUGGGGUAAAGGCUUACCAAGGCGACGAUCCGUAGCUGGUCUGAGAGGACGACCAGCCACACUGGGACUGAGACACGGCCCAGACUCCUACGGGAGGCAGCAGUGGGGAAUUUUGGACAAUGGGGGCAACCCUGAUCCAGCCAUGCCGCGUGGGGGAAGAAGGCCUUCGGGUUGUAAACCGCUUUUGUUCGGAAAGAAAUCCUCUGGGCUAAUACCCCGGGGGGAUGACGGUACCGAAAGAAUAAGCACCGGCUAACUACGUG